rnacentral:rRNA from 1 species
UACGUAGGUGGCAAGCGUUGUCCGGAAUUAUUGGGCGUAAAGCGCGCGCAGGCGGCCUUUUAAGUCUGAUGUGAAAGCCCACGGCUCAACCGUGGAGGGUCAUUGGAAACUGGGGGGCUUGAGUGCAGAAGAGGAGAGCGGAAUUCCACGUGUAGCGGUGAAAUGCGUAGAGAUGUGGAGGAACACCAGUGGCGAAGGCGGCUCUCUGGUCUGUAACUGACGCUGAGGCGCGAAAGCGUGGGGAGCGAACAGG